AUUAACUUCCCAUGGUUCAUAGAGCAAAUCAGCAUUAAAGGAACGCACUGAUAUACCUUGAGCUGUUAAGAUUUCUUUUGUGCGAUGAUCUCUCACAAGUGAAAUAGGAUCAUACAAAUGAUUGAAGAAGAGCUGAGUAGCACCAGUAGAUUUAACAACUUCAAGAAGAGAAGAAAUACUAUCAGUAGAUCUCUUUGUAAUAAGGGAGGUUCCAAGACUCUUCAAAGAUGAAUCAAGAUGAG
rnacentral:misc_RNA from 1 species